UCUCAGUAAAAAUAUUCACCAAUGAGGGAUGUGCUGCUCUUACAGGCCCAAUCCACUUCAUUUUGAAGAGCCCGUCAACUCCAGCGCUGUUACUUUGGCCAGAAAUGGUCGGAGUCGCACUCAACUCAUCUCGCCGGUAAACUCGGCCGGAUUCGGUCAUCAGAAGCCAGAAACGGUAACCAAAGUCUUCACAGGUUUUCGUUCUCCACUCCUCUCCUGUAUCGGACGCAAGGAUUAGAAGCAUUGAUAUAUUAUUACAGUCGGAGUCACUGAUGUGUGACCAAUGGAUCAUGGAUAUUCCUGUUGUGGAAUCACUCUCUUGCAAAAGCAAGUUCAUCGCGUUUCUAGAAGAGGAUGCCCUAAAAAGAAAAGCUAUGCAUGUGAUAGCUGGUCCAGUUCAGCUCUUUGGAUCCCUUCAAUAUGCCGAGGGAACUAUUUCACUGAAAGUGAGGUCUUCUCUUAACACAAAGCAUAUAAAUAAAAAGAGGUGAUUCAUCCAUGAUUAUCUAGAUAGGAUGUCGUUUGGAGGAGAAAGAUGUUGAGGGAUCCUUUGUCCUAAUCAUCACUAUAUGUUACUACUGUGCAAGGGCUGAUUACUCUUUCGUUCUCUGGGAGGAAGAAAAAGGAGAUUGCACCUUCAAUGCAUGAAAAUGCGGCUUUUGGAGGACCACAACUCAAUCAUCCGCAACUCCAAUUAAGUAGGGAGGAUCACAGUUCAAUCCUCCGCAACUCCAAUUAGAUAGGGAGGACAGUUCAAUCCUCCGCAACUCCAAUCAGAUAGGGAGGACCACAGUUCAAUCCUCCGCAACUCUAAUCAGAAGGAGAACUAAAAUCACUUGAUGCUAGAAUUGACGCCCCUAAACCAGACUAUCGUAAUUAAUGAUGGCUAUUGUCUUAUUUUAACUAGUUAUUUUUAUAAAUAGUUAUCUUCUAUAGGGAAAUGCUAACAAGUGUAAUUGGGGUGCUCUUUUUUAAGUGAUUAAAAUGAUAAGUUUUAAAAAAAAUUGUAUGUAUUCAAUAUAUUGAAAAUGCAUUUGAAAUUGAAAUAUUGACUUUUAUAAAAAAAAAUUAUUUAUUAUUUUUAAAGAGUAUCCUGAGGACACUCGUUAGCAAGAUCCAUUAUUAUAUUAUGUUUAAAUUUUUUUAUAUGUGCACAUAUUUUUUUUGAU